AUAAUCUAGCUCAGGACUCACAGAUGAAGAAAAGCAGAGCCAGUAAGGCUGGUCAGCCACAGCCACCCAGAAUGCUUUCUACCUCCAUGCCAGAUGCCCUGUUAAAGCUGCAUGCUUAGAGAUGGCUCACUUUCUAAAGAAGAUGCUUCCACUAUGAUACGAAGUCUCCCUCUUGUACCCCAGGCUGGAGUGCGAUGGCGCGAUCUCGGCUUACUGCAACCUCCGCCUCCCAGGUUCAAGCGAUUCUCCUGCUCAACCUCCCGAGUAGCUGGGAUUACAGGCGCCUGCAAUCACGCCCGACUAAUUUUUGUAUUUUUAGUAGAGGCAGGGUUUCACCAUUUUGGUCAGGCUAGUCUCAAACUCCUGACCUCAGGUGAUCUGCCUGCCUCGGCCUCCCAAAGUGCUGAGAUUACAGGUGUGAGCCACCGCACCUGGCCCCAUGUGUUUUAAGAUGUAGUUUUCAAACUGUAAUUCCAGUUUUUUAAGGACUCACAGGGUUCUUUUCAAUGGAACCUAUCCUAUUUAUUUUCUCCCUUUUUGUCUUUAGGCAAUUUUCCUCAUUACCUGAUAAGACUUGUCUCUUAAUCUUUGUUUUUCCCUAUGUAGAAGUCCCUGGCUCUUUUCCUGACUUUUGCUGGUAUUGGUAAGCUUAGAUAUCCGCAUUACAGCUUUAUUGGGAUAUAUGUGUGUGUGUUUUUCAAAAUAACUUAAAAGCACUCUUAUUUCACCCCUUUAUUUGAGUAACACUGGGCUAAAACAAAAUUUGGUUGAGAUUAUGUUUGUUUUUACUUGCUGGAAAUUAAUAAAUUUUUACAUUUUAAUAUGUAGCACAUAGGUAUAUACAAACAAGAUUAACUUGUUUAAAAGAAAAGCUGGCAACUUUUAGACAAAAAGAAACUUACUUUCUGUGCACUGCACAUUUAAUUAGAUGAAAAGGAGAAUAUAUUUCAACCAUGGAAGUUUCCGAGGCCUUUGGCACACUAGAUUUUUCAUAGAGGCCAACGUAUAUGAAGUGAGUCUUAAAGACAGGAUGCAACUUCAGUUCGGGAAUUUGGUUAAUUUUUUUUAAUCACAUAAAUUUACCAGAGGGAUGCAAACUUAAAAACUCCCAAAAGGAAAAAGUAGCAAUCUAGAGAGGAGUUAGAAUUCCUCUAGAUGAAAAUUUUAACUUGUUUCUUCUCAAUGUUUGUAAUUCAUAGAAGAUAAUCCAAUGUCAGGUUUCUGUAUCUACUAGUCUGAUCAUAAAUUUUGCAAAGACAUGAGCAUGUUCUUGAAACUUUAGUGUAUUGGCUCAAUGACAAUGUUCUUACUUGGCUAAUUCUAUAAGAGAUGUAACACAACACCAGAAAUACAGAUGUACUUGAAACUAUUUGUCUUAAUUACAUUUUUUAGUUUACCUGGUCCUAGAAGUGAUAAAUAAUGAAAUUCCUAUGCACAAAACUUUAAAAAAUAUUUCAUUCAGUUGACAAUUUUAAAAUGAGUAUUAACCCAUAGUAAAUGUCAAACAACAAUUAUAAUUAUCCUCUGUUUAUCUCAGGUGCCAAAGGGCAAGUAGAAACAGUAACAUUGUUCUUACCAUCUCAACAGGUGGGUGGAAUAAGACUUUACAAGCACCAUGUGAGCCUCCUCCUAAUUUGAGUCAUGGUAAGGAAAGAGACCCCACUUCCAAAGAACUGUGCUUCACUUUUAAUAAGUGGGUCCUGACUCCCUUCCUCUCAAUGGUGCCUGGAGAAACUACAGAAUCAAGAGUUUGCCCGGGCAUACCAGGAAAGAUUGUCACAAAUUGGUUUGAGGGGUGAGCUAGGCAGUGGUGUCAUGGCAGCAGCAGUGGCUGGGGCCCAAAGAGAAAGGACAGUUUGGAGAAAAGUUAGUUAAGUUGUGAUCUGUCUUUUUUCCUCAUUGCCUAGGGAAAAUUAUUACUUGCCCCAUCACUGAAGAAAUUCACAGCAAUUGCCAGACUGUUGAGGUUAGUGGGGCAUACAAGGGCAACUGCUCCAAAAAUUUCUCUGAGAGGUUUACACAGAGACAUGCACAGCAUUAUGUGGGCACAAAGUUAUUACCUGGAGUGCAGUGGAGGCACCCUAGGGUAUAUUAUACAGCAGUCAGGGUUUGCUUUUUACCAAAAUAUAAUACCUCAUGUUAAAAAAAAAAAAAGUAAAUUUAGACCAGCAAGUGGUUGAAAAGGGAAC
rnacentral:lncRNA from 1 species